rnacentral:lncRNA from 10 species
CUCUCCUGCGCCUCCUCCUCGCUCUGUGCGUGCUCUCUCGCUCUCUCUCUCCCUCUCUCCCUCCCUCCCUUCUCUCUCGUUCUCUCUCUCUCUCUCUCCCUCUUUCCCUCCUCCUCUCUGCUCCUGUCAUUCUUGGUUGCUUUUGCUGCCUCUCUGUGUCUCUUUCCGUCUGUCCUCCCUUCUGUCUCUGCACAUCUGUCCUUCCUUUCGCCCUCUCCCUAUCUCCAUCCUCUUUCUCUGCCUGUGGGGCAUUAUCUGUGUCUCCCAUUUAUUCUUCCCUUUUCUCUGUUUCUCUCCCUCCCUUCCUGUCUCUGUGUCUCUGUUCUUCCUCUCUCUCGCUUUCUCCUCCCCUCUCUCCCCGAACCAGUCAGGGUCUGCCCGUCUCUCUCUCCCCCUUCCUGCUCUCCCAGCUUCGCCCCCACCAGCUUUAGUAUCUCCACCCCCCACCCCCACCCACUGGGGGCUCAAAGGUGAAUCAGACCCGAAUCUGCCCUUGCAGAUGGAGCUCACAGUCUGAUGGAAGAGACAGAGCCAGCCGCAGACAGUCCCAAUCCCGGGUGAUCUGGGUAUGACACAGGGAGAGGCCAGAGGCUGUGAGAGCCCAGGGCGGGAGGAAUCCUGGCAGCUGGAGACGGCAGAGAGGACCUCCAGAGAAGGCGUGGUUGUGGCAUGACCUCCACUAAGGCCCUUCCAGGCAGAGGGCACAGCUGAAGCGAAGGCCCAAGGCAGGAAACCAAGGAGUUAGCAAGUCACAGGGACCACUGGUUCCUUCAUUCUCUGAAAUACAGGGCUCCAAAUCUCUCAGCACAUAAGACUCAUCUACUGCAAUUCCUACAAAUAUCCAGAACUCAGGAUCCAUCAUUGCCUUCACUCCCUGAAACAGGGGGCCACCAUUCCCAUCAGACAUUGGCACACAAGUACAGGUUGAGCAUCCUUAAUGCAAAAAUCUCGAAUCUGAAAUGCUCCAAAAUCAAAAACUUUUUGAGCACCGACGUAACGUCAGAAGUGAAAAAUUUCAUUCCAUCACUUGAUCUCAUGUGAUAGAUUGCAGUCAAAACUUUGUUUCAUGGGGCUGGGCACAGUGGCUUAUGCCUGUAAUCCAGCUGUUUGGGAGGCUAAGGCAGGAGGAUCACUUGAGCCCAGGAAUUUGAGACCAGCCUGGGCAACAUAGUGGGAUUCCCAUCUCUACAAUAAAAAAAUUUAAAACUUAGCAGGGCAUGGUGAUGCAUGCUUCUUCUCCCAGCUACUAGGGAGGCUGAGGUGGGAGGAUUGCUUAAGCCCAGGAAGUUGAGGCUGCACUCCAGCCUGGUUGAUAGAGUGAGACCCUGUCUUAAAACAAACAAAAAACCUUGUUUCAUGCACAAAAAUAUUGUAUAAAAUUAUCUUCAGGCUAUGUGUAGAAGGCAUAUAUAAAUGAAAUGAAAACAAAUGAAUUUUGUGUUUGGACUUGGGUCUCAUCCCCAAAUAUCUGAUUUUAUAUAUAUGAAAAUAGUCCAAAAUACAAAAUAAAAAAAUCAAACCUGAAACACUUUCUGUCUCAAGUAUUUUGGAUAAGGGAUGCUCAACCUAUAUCACCAUCUUUAUCAGUCUCUGCUACCCAAUAUUGUAAUUCUCAUACUUCUUAGACACAGGGGCCACCAUUCUCAUCAACUGCUGAAACUCAAGUUCCACUAUUAUUACCUCUUGGAACAGCACUUCAAAGGAAAAUAGAAACUUCCUACCCUUCACAAGGUCAUCCCAAGUUCCUGAAACAGGAACUGGUAGACAGGAGGACACCUUAACCUACCUUGAAUUAGGUCUGAGUCAAGGACUUACACGUUGAUACUAUAGAACAGGCGGCACCGGGUCAUGAGGAACAUCAAAGUAGCAGAGAAUCCUUCCAUGUGAGGGAUCAACCCUAAAACCAAGAUAAUCCGAUAGCACCACCAGACAAUCCUUCCAUGUGGGGGGAUCAACCCCAAACCCAAGAUAAUCCUAGAGCACCACAUAAUCCCUGCAGGUGGGAUAAUCCCCACACUGGCAGAGCCUAAAAUCACGAGAUGAUCUAAAUCAAGCUUGUCCAACCCACAGCCCAUGGGCCUCAUGUGGCCCAGGAUGGCUUUGAAUGUGGCCCAACACACAUUCAUAAACUUUCUUAAAACAUUGAGGUUUUGGGUUUUUUUUGCAAAUUUUUUUAAGCUCAUCAGCUAUCAUUAGUGUUAAUGUAUUUUAUGUGCAGCCCAAGACAAUUCUUCCAGUUUGGCCCAGGGAAGCUGAAAGAUUGGACACCCCUGAACUAAAAGCAGCAGAUUCUCCUAUUACACCAUUAAAUAACCCCAAAUGGUAAUUUGCCCCUGGUGGACUUGUAGGAAGUAGAGACAGGGUCCCCAUUGUUGUCGGGUCUGGGCUGGGGGAAGUGGGGAGGCAACAGAUCUCAUUUCCACAAUUAAUUAUUUUCUGAACAAAGGGCAUGGGAAAAUGGGUGUGAUGUUUUGGGGAGGGUUUCCCUAUAGCCUUUCUCUUCACCUUGGGCCAUACCUUCUUUUUGUUUGAUGAGUGAAGGACCUUCAGCUGCUCUGCUGUUUACAUCUAAGAAAAAGGUAGGGAAGGUUACACUGAGGUUCAAGGAGACAGACUAGUUAUAGUUUUUGCAAGUCCGUCAGCUGCCAUCUCCUCCUACCUCUGAUAAUAGAUCAUCUCUUUCCUUUAAGUAACCCACUCCACAUGACUCUGACAAGAAUGUCCAAGCACUGAUGCCCCUCCUUCUCCCCCCAAAAAAACCUAGUCUGGGCAUCUGGGUAUAUGACACAAAAUAGGCCAACCAGAAUAUUUAUCAUUCAUUGUCUGUGAGCCCUGACAGAGCUGGUUAGAAUCCAAGAUUUUAUUUUUGAUCUUGAUACUUUAAUUUUAUGUCUUCUAAAAUAUAAAUGUAUACAUAUGCAUUUGUACACAUAUAUAUUGUUUUAGUUUCUGAAGAACAGAGUCAUACUACAUAUGCCAAGGUGAUUAAGAGCACAGAUUCUGAAGCCCGAUGGCUCAGGUUUGAAUCCUGGCUCAGCCAUUUUACUAGCUAUGUCUCUCUAUGUCUCAGUUUCAUCAUCAGUAAAAUGGGUGUAAUAAUAAUAGUACCUAUAUCAUGGGUUGAGACAUAAGGAUUAAAGGAGUUAAUGUAUGGAAAGUGCUUAAAACAGUGCCUGGCACACAAUAAACCAUAUAAAAGAAUUAUCGAAUGUUAUGCCUACAAAUUAAUACAGAGCUAGCUCUUUAUUCUAAUUUAUUCAUACACAUGCACAGAAUUUUAUAUUAACAGGGCAAUUUAUUCUUAUGAAGGUAUUUUUACUGUAUUCUUUCCCAUCCUCAUUUAUUUUUUUCUUUGGUUACCUUGAUUGACCCCUCCCUUCCUACCCAUUCACCAGGUGCUUCUCCUCCCAAAGUUAUCUGUCAUACCUGUUGUGAGUUAAAUUGUGUCCCCACCCCACCAAAUAUAUAUGUUAAAGUUUGAAUCCCCUGUACCUGUGAAUGUGACCUUCUUUGAGAGCCUUUACAGAUGUAAUCAAGUUAAAAUGAAGGCAUACUGGAUUAGAGUGGGCCCUAAAUCCAAUGACUGGUAAUCUGAUAAGGAGAGAGAUAUUUGAAGAUGCAGAUAAAAUACUUGGGAAGAAGGCCAUGUGAUGAUGGAGGCAGAGAGAUUCAAGUGAUGCAUCUACAAGCCAAGAAACACCAAGGAUGACUGGCAACCACCAGAAGCUAGAACAAGAAACCAAGGGGCCUACAGAGGAAGCUGGUCCUGCUGAUACCUUCAUUUCUAACUUCUAGCCUCCACAUCUGCGAGAGAAUACAUUUCUGUUUUUGCUUGUUUGUUUUGAGGUGGAGUCUCCCUCUGCCACCCAGGCUGGAGUGCAGUGGCAUGAUCUUGGCUCACUGCAGUCUCCACCUCCUGGGCUCAAGUGAGUCUCCUGCCUCAGCCUCCCAAGUAGCUGGGACUACAGUCACCUGCCACCAUGCCUGGCUAAUUUUCGUAUUUUUAGUAGAGACAGGAUCUUACCAUGUUGGCUAGGCUGGUCUCAAACGCCUGACCUCAAGUGAUCUGCCCGCCCUCAGUCUCCCAAAGUACUGGGAUUACAGGCAUGAUACACUGUGCCCGGAUAAUUUCUGUUGUUUUAAGCUGCUCAGUUUAUAAUACUUUAUUACAACAGCCCUAGAAAACCAAUAUAGUAUCCAUG